AGAUGAGAUACCUUUUGUAAAUCGAUUAAAUUACUUUACUGGAUAAGUGAUAAGAAAUUUGAAGAGGUCUCUCGUCUCUAUAUCACUCAGAAAUAACAAUCCUGCAAUUUUAAAAGAGGUGAAAUUCUUCGCUCUGCAGUUACUACAUGAUCAUUUCAAAGUUAGUGGAGCUGGGUUUUUUGAAGUCAACAAUAAGUUGAUGUUAACUUGUGGUAGUACUGCUAUGAUGUAUGUGGUUUUACUCGUUCAAACGGACGAAGCAUUUUGCACAAUAAUUAAUGGUAUCAUGAGAAGUCUCUAAGUUCCAUUCAACCAUAUAUUUUUUAUCUGUAAAAGCCUAGCAUUUUUUUCAAAAUGAAUGAAAUUCGAGUUUAAUGAAGAUAAACACGAAUAUUUCUGCAGAAAUGGUAUUUAAAAGUAAGAAGA